CUAAAGGAUCGUUUCGAAAUACCACAGUGAUACCUUUCUGCUUUGAAAACACCAAAACAACUAUUCCGUUAAGCUUUAAGUCGGAAAGUCGUAAAAACAUAGGCACAGUAAGCGGUGCACGAGAUGCUAACAUUGUAUUACGAGAACUAAAACUGGGAACAUUACUUUUUUGCACCGAUAAUGGAUUGGCACGAAUUUUUGUUUGCAAGACCAAAGAAGCAUCACCCGAAUAAUGG